CAACACACAUCCAGACGGGUAAUGAGGAGUCCUGUGGAGCUCAAUCACAUGUCUGAGGCAGAAACUGGAGUGCGCUGGGGUAUACACGGGGUUUUACGGUAACCGCCAGGCUCCAGACAUGCGAGAUGUGGAGAAGAGGCGGGGUCAGUUACACCGCGAUUACAAGAACCAGCAGAACCAUGCAGCUCAGGAACGUCAGCCGGUCCAGGGUCGUCCUGCAGAAUCGCAGCGGCAGCAUCUACAGCAAGCCACCCAAGACCAAGAUCGGACCUGGGCAAACGUUCUUCAUAAUGUCCGUGUUCGCGAUUGCUCUCCUUCUCCCGGCGGGAUGGAUCCUGCACCACCUCCCCGAAUACCGACACCGCCCUCCCGCUCCACCCUCCUGACCAGAGCACCCCGCUGCACGCUAACACCAACCCCAGCUGCCUGUGAAGAGCCAUUCACCUCCCUGAGACACAACCAGGUGGAGACACGCUUGGAAGGAAGCUUGAACAGGAGAGGAAGACUGCAUUAGCAGACUGCUAACGUCACUGCAGCGAAGGCUUACGUAGCACAGCUCUACGCUCCUCCCUGUAAUAAACCCCUGCUCUUUAAAAAUAAAUCUCCUGCACGUG
ensembl:lncRNA